rnacentral:rRNA from 1 species
AUUGAACGCUGGCGGCAUGCCUUACACAUGCAAGUCGAACGGCAGCACGGGAGCAAUCCUGGUGGCGAGUGGCGAACGGGUGAGUAAUAUAUCGGAACGUGCCCAGUCGUGGGGGAUAACGCAGCGAAAGCUGUGCUAAUACCGCAUACGAACUACGGAUGAAAGCGGGGGAUCGCAAGACCUCGCGCGAUUGGAGCGGCCGAUAUCAGAUUAGCUAGUUGGUGGGGUAAAGGCCCACCAAGGCGACGAUCUGUAGCUGGUCUGAGAGGACGACCAGCCACACUGGAAUUGAGACACGGUCCAGACUCCUACGGGAGGCAGCAGUGGGGAAUUUUGGACAAUGGGCGCAAGCCUGAUCUAGCAAUGCCGCGUGCAGGAUGAAGGCCUUCGGGUUGUAAACUGCUUUUGUACGGAACGAAACGGCCCUUUCUAAUACAGGGGGCUAAUGACGGUACCGUAAGAAUAAGCACCGGCUAACUACGUGCCAGCAGCCGCAGUAACAC